AAGAUACCCAAGCCAGAAACAGCAACCCUUCCAGGUCCCCUUCCCCCACGUGGAAGCUUUCCUUUCACUUUCGCUUUAAUAAAUCUUGCCGCAGCACACUCUCUAAUCGAGCUGUAACACUCGCCACUGCCGUCCACGGCUUCAUUCCUUGAAGCCGUGAGACCACGAACCCUUCGAUUGAGAAGAACCUUCGGUCGGAAGAAGACUUCUCGUCUCAGUAACAAUAACAAGAAAAACAGCCUAGACUAGACGCACAUCAGGAAGACAGACGUGACUUGCUCCUCCUUGCCUUCUGCCAUGAUUGUGAGGCUUCCCCAGCCAUGUGGAAAUGUACCCAGCAUAACCCCAUUGAAGAGCUGUUCCCUGGGACCUGGAGAGGAACACAGCAGGCUGCCAUGCCCACUGCACCUGCAGUGUCGGCCACAGCCGCAGAAUAAACAUGUGGAGAAGGUCAUUGAUCACCUUGACUGAAGCACUGCAGACAAGAUAAAGACAGCCUGAUGCAGAGGAAGAUUGAGGACUAAGGGGCUUCAUCCACAGUUAAUCCCGUCAUGUAUUGACCCGGAAACAUCAUCUCAUUUGCCUAUAAGACAGAGAGAGAGAAUGAUAGAAAUGCUGGAAGAACGAGCCUUGGGGCGGUAUCGCCCAGAUCUGAAUCCACACAGCAGCUGCUUCGGUCCCUGUAACUCAAGGCUUCCUCUUAAUCCUCUGUCCUCCAUCAACACCUGGCUGAGCAGGAACAACUAUGACCUAGGACCAGGGCCUUCAGGAAUCUUCACCCCUAACUUGAACUUCAUAACACUGGAGAGCUUCCUCUGUGCUGUCUUCAUGGCUGUUAC
rnacentral:lncRNA from 1 species